GCUGGUAUCGUGUUUCUCCGGUACAAUCUGUAAAUGUAUACCUUGCACGCGUUUUAAAAUGAGAAAUACGAGUUUUUUUUUUUCUUUCUUUUAAAAGGAAAACGAAAUAAAUCGUACCGAAUUGUCUGAUAAAGAAGACGAAAUGCGUUAAAAACCGAAAAAUGUCGAAAAAUACAAAAUAAAAUCGUCGUAUUCUCACAACUCUCUGAUAUACGAAACAAAUUCUGUGCUCGGAAAGCGUUGCUUCGGGGCGUUCAGAUAAAAAAAAAAAAAAAAAAAUGCAAUUUUGUAUUUCAAUCCGCGCUCUAGUAUCGAAUAAUCUGCCGUACGUCAAACGACAUCGGUAUCGAUUCGAAUCCCGUCUUCUACCGAAGUCGCGCGCGUAAACGUCAAGGCGCACUCGUUUGUAGAUCACGAGACCGCCGACACCGCUGUGCGAUACAAUCGCAUACACCCGGGAAAAAAUCGCGAUCUUAAAUAAUUUGCGCGCCGAACUCGUUUUGGAUUUCAACUACCGGAAUGACGCUCGCGAAUUCAACGUUUAAUAAAAGUGAAAAUAUUGUUGCUCAAUAAUUGUCCGUUUGUCGGGGCAACCGGCGGAACGCGUCGGUCGACCGAAAGCCUUUUUUAACUUCGUGUUUUUUUUUUUUUUUGCGUUCGGAGCACACGCGGGCGCUCGCGCGAUUUUUAACCGGGACGGGAAAACGUAAAUGAAAACGUUUUCCGGGCGGCGGUAACGUUUUUGUGUCGUUACGGAAUUUCAAUGAAAUUACGUUUACCGCCACGAACUCUUGUCCGCGCCCGUACGCGCCGUUAACGCAAUAUUUUUAUUUUAUUUUUUUUCCCCUCCCGCGCUAAUUGCGCACUUCGAAUCGAAGAAAUUCUCCGGAGGACCGCCGGCCCCGCAGAAGCACCGCGCCAUUUGCCCGUUGUGAGACCGACGUUCACUCACGCGGACGUGAAGUAGGUAUGGCG